UACAGAGGGGGCAAGCGUUAUUCGGAAUUAUUGGGCGUAAAGGGCGCGUAGGCGGCCUGGCAAGUGGAAGGUGAAAUCCCUCGGCUUAACCGAGGAACUGCCCUCCAAACUGCUUGGCUUGAGUCCGGGAGAGGUGAGUGGAAUUCCCAGUGUAGCGGUGAAAUGCGUAGAUAUUGGGGGGAACACCAGUGGCGAAGGCGGCUCACUGGACCGGAACUGACGCUGAGGCGCGAAAGCCAGGGGAGCGAACGGG
rnacentral:rRNA from 1 species